UGUAUAUGAAGCUACCAACCGUGAAACCGGUGCUUUAUGUGCAAUGAAAGAAGUUGAUCUUACUCCUGAUGAUCCUAAAUCUGCUGAAUGUAUAAAGCAGUUAGAACAGGAAAUAAGAGUUCUCCGGCAGUUGAAGCACCAAAAUAUUGUUCAAUAUUAUGGCAGUGAAAUAAUGGAAGACCGCUUUUGCAUAUAUUUGGAAUAUGUGCACCCCGGUUCAAUUAAUAAGUACGUUCGGGAACAUUGCGGAGCUAUGACAGAGUCAAUAGUUCGAAACUUUACUAGGCAUAUUGUAUCAGGGUUGGCUUACUUGCAUAGCACUAAAACAAUACACAGGGACAUUAAGGGAGCAAAUUUGCUUGUAG
rnacentral:misc_RNA from 1 species